UACGUAGGGUGCAAGCGUUAAUCGGAAUUACUGGGCGUAAAGCGUGCGCAGGCGGUUUUGUAAGACAGGCGUGAAAUCCCCGGGCUCAACCCGUGGGAACUGGACGCUUGUGACUGCAAAGCUGGAGUGCGGCAGAGGGGGAUGGGAAUUCCGCGUGUAGCAGUGAAAUGCGUAGAUAUGCGGAGGAACACCGAUGGCGAAGGCGAAUCCCCUGGGCCUGCACUGACGCUC
rnacentral:rRNA from 1 species